rnacentral:rRNA from 1 species
AUUGAACGCUGGCGGCAUGCCUUACACAUGCAAGUCGAACGGUAACGGGUCCUUCGGGAUGCCGACGAGUGGCGAACGGGUGAGUAAUAUAUCGGAACGUGCCCAGUAGUGGGGGAUAACUGCUCGAAAGAGCAGCUAAUACCGCAUACGACCUGAGGGUGACAGGGGGGGGAUCGCAAGACCUCUCGAUCUUGGAUCGGCCGAUAUCAGAUUAGCUCGUUGGUGGGGUAAAGGCCUACCAAGGCAACGAUCUGUAGUUGGUCUGAGAGGACGACCAGCCACACUGGGACUGAGACACGGCCCAGACUCCUACGGGAGUCAGCAGUGGGUAAUUUUGGACAAUGGGCGCAAGCCUGAUCCAGCAAUGCCGCGUGCAGGAAGAAGGCCUUCGGGUUGUAAACUGCUUUUGUCAGGGAAGAAAUCUUCUGGGCUAAUACCCCGGGAGGAUGACGGUACCUGAAGAAUAAGCACCGGCUAACUACGUGCCAGCCGCCGCAGUAA